rnacentral:lncRNA from 1 species
UGUCCUUGGUUCCUGAAAGUGGCAAGCCCACAGAAGGCAAAGCAGUUUAGGGGGUAAAAGCCCAUCCCAUUGAUCCUGAUGUCCUGAGUUUGGUUCCUGGGUCCCAAAUGGUGGGAGGAAGUUGUACCCACAGGUACAACGCCUGCAAACUGCCCUCUGAUUUCCACAUGUGCCCAGUGGCAUGAAAGGUCCUCACAUAGUAAAUAAAUAUAAUAUUUUUUACAGUGACAGCCCAAUUCAUCAAUUCAUGAUUUAGUGACAGGAGAUAAGUCACUAAUCAAAAAAUAGAACUAAAUUAACCCAUCGAAGGAUAAUCCACCAUUUCUCUUUAAAGGUUGAAGAUAGUAUCUCUAGGACUUGAGCUAUCAAUUUACUGAAGAACUGCAAACUGUGCCAUGAUAUAAAGAAGGAACUGGUUAGAUGAAAAAGCUGAACUUAUGCAAAGCACGCAUGUAUAGACCCUGAAAGAGAAGGAGGAGAAUGUAGAGGCAGAGUUGAGAAAAACUUCUAGGGGUAACUUCAGGUCUGAUGUUGCUCUUCCCGUUCUUGUAAAGGCCAUGUGUCACACUGCAUCUUCAUAAUAAAUACUGGUACCUACGGUGGAUUCCUACUUGCAGGAGUCCAGAGGAGUCUUAAUGAGGACAUCCUAUUUUUCAGCAUGACCCUGAAUGCCUGACUGCUAUUGGAAUCUGUUUCUAUUUUCAAGUCUGCUCUGUAAGAUUAUUCUUGGAAAAGCCUCUCAUAAUCAAAAAACUAGGAGGGGCUUCAGUAUUAGAGUGUAACAAAACUAGUUGAUAUUCCAGGAUGGGAAAUUUAGUCCAGAUGGGAUGUUAUUAAGACAAAAUUCUAGAGUAAACAUGGACUUGUUCACCAAAUUCUUGAAUAUCAGAACCAGAUGGCAUUCUUUCAAACUUACAGAAUUCUUUUCAUUCAUAUAAGCAGUUCGCUUUAAUGAACUAGAAGGGGUAAAUGGAAUCCCUUCAGUCAGUAUUUAAUGCUUAAGGAUUCAGACAAAGUCUAAUGAGAGAAAAUCAUUACAGAUGAUCGCCAUAAAUUAGGGGAGCUUGGGAAAUAGUCUUACCCCUAUAUUUGUGAACUUUGGAAAGGAAUUUAACACCUUUGAAAUGUUAAUGGCCACUUGUACAAGGAUCAGUGCUGUCUCUCACAUGUAGGGAUGGAGUGUGAACUUGAACCCUGGCUCUCGGAUAUCUCAUUGCUCUCUUAGGAAAAUAAUCCUCUGGAAUUCAAAGAACGGGUGCCAUAAUGAAAAAAACCUGAAACUGGGUCUCUUAUUUUUACCAAAGUCCAAACUGAGACGUAUGUUUUCCAAAUGGCAUGAACCAUUUCUGGUUGAAAGCCUGCUUGGUACUAGAUCUUCCCAUGAGGCUCUUCGCCCAGCAAUGUGACUGAGAUAAGCUCUGAAACAUUACAAGGUCUCUGUGCACUGGUCGAUCUGACCAUUAAAGCAUUCCCCACUCAUCACAAUUCCAAGUGAUGGUGGAGCUCAUUUACUGGCUGCAAGGACCGCUGUCCCUGUCUUGCUGUCUUAGAGAAACUCUUCAGGUUAUGAUUACAGCCACACUUCACUAUCUACUAAUGACUCUUCUCUCAGUUGAUGAUGUUCUAGACUGUUCUACCCAAAUGGCACUGGCAGAAAUGACAUAUAAUCUUCCCUUUGUAAAAGGUAACAGCUCAUCCUUUUCAAAUAUACAUCUUCAUUUGUUGAAUCACUUAGAAAAUCAAGCACUGUGGUGAUAUUUAAGGGAGAAAAAAUGUGGAAAAAGUGUGAAGUUGUCCUAGCCUUGUUACCUGGGUUGAUCUUGAACUUUGUCCAAACCAACCACAUCCAUCUCUACCUCAAUGAUUAACAGCUUUAGUUUAGCUUGGCAUUUAUUCUACAAUUAAAUAUAAUUUAGUCUACUUUGAUCUCUCAGAAAAAAAGAAAAGUGAUCAAAACAAAGGGGAAAAAAGUCCUUCAAAACUAAGGUUAAAUCAGUGAAAUUCUGUGAUUCAUUUUUGGUAACCUUUUCCCCAGUUGGAUCGUAGCC